rnacentral:rRNA from 1 species
UCCGUAGGUGAACCUGCGGAGGGAUCAUUGCUGGAACGCGCCCCAGGCGCACCCAGAAACCCUUUGUGAACUUAUACCUUACUGUUGCCUCGGCGCUAGCUGGUCCUCCGGGGCCCCUCACCCCCGGGUGUUGAGACAGCCCGCCGGCGGCCAACCCAACUCUUGUUUUUACACUGAAACUCUGAGAAUAAAACAUAAAUGAAUCAAAACUUUCAACAACGGAUCUCUUGGUUCUGGCAUCGAUGAAGAACGCAGCGAAAUGCGAUAAGUAAUGUGAAUUGCAGAAUUCAGUGAAUCAUCGAAUCUUUGAACGCACAUUGCGCCCUCUGGUAUUCCGGAGGGCAUGCCUGUUCGAGCGUCAUUUCAACCCUCAAGCCUGGCUUGGUGAUGGGGCACUGCUUCUUGCCCAAGAAGCAGGCCCUGAAAUUCAGUGGCGAGCUCGCCAGGACCCCGAGCGCAGUAGUUAAACCCUCGCUCUGGAAGGCCCUGGCGGUGCCCUGCCGUUAAACCCCCAACUUCUGAAAAUUUGACCUCGGAUCAGGUAGGAAUACCCGCUGAACUUAAGCAUAUCAAUAAGCGGAGGA